ACGAAACAUGAAACUUUACGGUUUGUCUCUCCUCUUUGUUCUGCUGCGACUUCUGAGUUAUGACCACCAAGAAGUGAUCGUCUGCGUUCUCUGUCACUUUCAAUGGUGUUUCGAGAGGUUGUUUGACUCAUAUCAAUCUUCAGUCGCGUCUCUUUGACUUCGCUUUUAGUAACUGAAAUGCUCAGAGCUACAGAUUCUUCCCUUUAUGGCCUUCUUAACUCCAUAGACCGACGUGACUGACAUUGAAUGCUACGAGCUAUUCCUCUGCAAGGCGGUGUAUCAACAGCUAUAUAAAGAAUCACUAUACUGCCUACUGAUGGAGGAAGAGUUGGUAGCGAACCAAGAGGUGUUCGAGGAGAAAGCCUAGGAAGAUAUCCGUUGGUAACUUGAGGAGUUAAUUGAUGAGAAUUAUGUCGAUUAAGAUCAGCUUGAACCUAGAUGCUCGAUCUUAAGGUUCCAUCAGUUGUUGGGAUUUUACAAGAUGAGGUGGAUCUGAUUGUGUAUGUGAUGAAAAUUGAGAAUGCUCCUUUGGAUUCUUAUGCUGACAAUGGAGGUUUAGAAGCUCAGAGUCAUGACAUUAAGGAAGCUGUUGAGUUGCUUUUAACUCAUCCUGAGUUUUAUGCAAAUAUUGGUAUUAAAGCCACCCAAGGGUGUGAUUUUUUAUGGUGAGCGAAGAACUGGGAAGACAGUGCUUGCUAAGGUUUGUCUUCCUACCUACUGCUUAUUAAGUGAUAUUGUCCCAACCCUUUGAAUAAGCGGAAACCACAUCAGAUGACUGAGCAUGCAGGUCGCUCUAAUUAUCAUUAAUUCGAUUGAAAGUUACUGUCAUCUUCUCAAUAUCAUGUAUACGGAGUUUCUCAUUCUGUUGAACCAUGGAAGCUUGAAGAUUAUCAACCACCAUGCCGUUUUCAAAUGGAGUCACAAAACAGAGACAUAUUCUCAGUUAUAUUUUAUUUCAACACUUGGUGUUGCAAGAAUUUUCCACUACAAGGACUUUGACGUUAGGAGGUGCAACUGCAUUAAGAGCUUUGCCUUGCUCAGCAAUUAUAUGUCCAUUAAGAGCUUUGCCUUGCUCAGCAACUAUAUGUCCACUGAUGUCCAACACGGCAGAAUGUUCCAUUACAGGGCCUCAGAUAUUUCACCAAUCAGAAGAGCUCAUUCCACAUCUUGGAACACUUCAUAAGGAUAUGUUCCCAUAUCAACUUCUCUAAACCAAGGGACAAGCAAUCCUCGAGUUCCAUUGCAAUACCAUCGAGAGCUUGGGUUGAUCUCUCUGUUCCAAGAAGUAUCAAAACAAUGGUUUGGUCUGGUCCAAAGACUGCAUCAGAAGCAAGCUACACCCGGGAAACCAAGUUCAUAACUCUCUCUCACUGUAACAGUAUUGGAAAAGGAGUAACUUACUCUGAUGAGCAGCACCUCUCUCACUGUGAUUUAAAAAGGACAAGUGUUCGUGACAGAUUUCAUAACUCUCUUCAAUCGUUUCUUUAUUGUAAUAAAUUCUGCACAAUUGGAUUUUUUUUUUCCAUAU